rnacentral:rRNA from 1 species
ACUACGGGGGGCAGCAGUAGGGAAUCUUUCACAAUGGGCGAAAGCCUGAUGGAGCAACGCCGCGUGCAGGAUGAAGGCCUUCGGGUUGUAAACUGCUUUUAUAAGCGAGAAAUAUGAUGGUAACUUAUGAAUAAGGAUCGGCUAACUACGUGCCAGCAGCCGCGGUCAUACGUAGGAUCCGAGCAUUAUCCGGAGUGACUGGGUGUAAAGAGUUGCGUAGGUGGCAUAGUAAGUAGCUAGUGAAAUCUGGUGGCUCAACCAUUCAGACUAUUAGCUAAACUGCUAAGCUCGAGACCGUUAGGGGUAACUGGAAUUUCUAGUGUAGGAGUGAAAUCCGUAGAUAUUAGAAGGAACACCGAUAGCGAAGGCGGCUUACUGGACUGUAACUGACGUUGAGGCUCGAAAGCGUGGGGAGCAAACAGGAUUAGAUACCCGGGUAGUC